rnacentral:rRNA from 1 species
AGGGUUUGAUCAUGGCUCAGAUUGAACGCUGGCGGCAGGCCUAACACAUGCAAGUCGAGCGGUAGCACAGAGAGCUUGCUCUCGGGUGACGAGCGGCGGACGGGUGAGUAAUGUCUGGGAAACUGCCUGAUGGAGGGGGAUAACUACUGGAAACGGUAGCUAAUACCGCAUAACGUCGCAAGCCCAAAGUGGGGGACCUUCGGGCCUCAUGCCAUCAGAUGUGCCCAGAUGGGAUUAGCUAGUAGGUGGGGUAACGGCUCACCUAGGCGACGAUCCCUAGCUGGUCUGAGAGGAUGACCAGCCACACUGGAACUGAGACACGGUCCAG